UCUAUGAACGAGUUCUAAGCGCGAGGAACCAGCAGGAGGACAAGGUUCUGAUGCUGCCGCUUUGUACUUGCGGGUCCCCGUCGUCAUCAUCUGAGGGGCACACGUCCGACCACCCGAGGCUGUAAGACCAGAGUGCCCAGGGGACACGGAGGCCCCAGGACAUUCGGGAGCUCUGACACAGGGCACGGGCAUUGGUGGCUUCGGAGGCUCUCGGGCUCAGCAGUGACCGCUCUACAGGGAGACCAGCUCCUGGGGUGCUUACAGUCAGCGUGUCUCAGCACGGAUGCCACAUUUGGAGACCUCAGGAUUUGGAGUGUUUCUACGUCUGGGGUGGGCGAGGGGGUCCCUGGCGCUUGGACACGGGACUCCGGGGCUGGAGCCCACGUCUGCAUCCUGAAGAGUCCCCAGCCGCCGAUAAAAGGUAAAAGGGCGUCGAUGCCAUUUCCUGCCAUGAUUUCCCCUCCUGGACUGAGGGACGCUGCUUUCAGAAGCCGGAGGAAGAUCCGUAAGACUCGGAAGGCGGCCACGCCAACGUUGCCAAGAGUGGCCAGACCCCCGCACAGAAUACUCCCGGGCCUCACAGAUAAGGUGGAAAGACACAUUUGAACAGAAACUUCCGUUCUGCCCUCAAGCCGCAUAUGGAGUCUGAAGAGAAAAAA